AUGAAGAGUGCCCUGACGACUAACCCUAACCAUGUCUUCAUUGUGCCUCACUGUACCCUAACCCUCUUUUCAUUGUGCUUCACGAAGAACCGCUAACCACGACGAAGAACCCUUAACCGCGACGAAGAGCCCCUAACAGCACUCUGUGAAGAACGUCGCUGGUCACCGGCGCUCGCA